rnacentral:rRNA from 1 species
GGCUCAGAAUGAACGCUGGCGCAUGGAUUAGGCAUGCAAGUCGAACGGUGAUGGCCCCGCAAGGGGCCUGAUCAGUGGCGAAAGGGUGAGCAACACGUGAGGAACCUGCCCUUGAGUCCGGAAUAGCCCCGGGAAACCGGGAUUAAUGCCGGAUGUGGUUGGAGGCCGAAUGGUCUCCGGACUGAAGGCGCAAGCCGCUCAGGGAUGGCCUCGCGUCCGAUCAGCUGGUUGGUGAGGUAACGGCCCACCAAGGCUGAGACCGGUAGCUGGUCUGAGAGGAUGGUCAGCCACACUGGGACUGAGACACUGCCCAGACUCCUACGGGAGGCUGCAGUCGAGAAUCUUCCGCAAUGGGCGAAAGCCUGACGGAGCGAUGCCGCGUGAGGGAUGAAGGCCUUCGGGUUGUAAACCUCUGUCGCCCGGGACGAAACCAUGACGGUACCGGGAGAGGAAGCUACGGCUAACUACGUGCCAGCAGCCGCGGUAAUACGUAGGUAGCAAGCGUUAUUCGGAUUUACUGGGCGUAAAGGGUCCGCAGGGGGUCUGCCAAGUCCGGCGUGAAAGCCCACGGCUCAACUGUGGAACGGCGCUGGAAACUGGCGGACUAGAGUGCAUGAGGGGUGAGCAGAAUUCCUGGUGUAGCGGUGGAAUGCGCAGAUAUCAGGAGGAAUACCGAUGGCGAAGGCGGCUCACUGGCGUGCAACUGACCCUCAGGGACGAAAGCGUGGGGAGCAAACAGGAUUAGAUACCCUGGUAGUCCACGCUGUAAACGGUGCACAUUCGAUGCGGGUGGAGCUUUGAUCCCAUCCGUGUCUGAGCUAACGCGUUAAAUGUGCCGCCUGGGGACUACGGCCGCAAGG